rnacentral:rRNA from 1 species
UUAGGAAUCUUCCACAAUGGGCGAAAGCCUGAUGGAGCGACGCCGCGUGAGGGAUGAAGGCCUUAGGGUUGUAAACCUCUAAAGGAGGGACGAUAAUGACGGUACCUCUUGAAUAGCACCGGCUAACUCCGUCCCAGCAGCCGCGGUAAUACGGAGGGUGCAAGCGUUAUCCGGAAUCACUGGGCGUAAAGGGCGCGUAGGCGGUCUGUUAAGUCCGAGGUUAAAUCCCGGGGCUCAACCCCGGAUAAGCGUUGGAUACUGGCAGGUUAGACGGUUGGAGAGGCGAGUGGAAUUACCAGUGUAGCGGUGGAAUGGGUAGAUCCUGGUAGGGACACCCAGUGCGAAGGCAGCUCGCUGGACAACACGUGACGCUGAGGCGGGAAAGUGUGGGGAGCAAACC